AUUGAACGCUGGCGGCAGGCCUAACACAUGCAAGUCGAGCGGUAGAGAGAAGCUUGCUUCUCUUGAGAGCGGCGGACGGGUGAGUAAUGCCUAGGAAUCUGCCUGGUAGUGGGGGAUAACGUUCGGAAACGGACGCUAAUACCGCAUACGUCCUACGGGAGAAAGCAGGGGACCUUCGGGCCUUGCGCUAUCAGAUGAGCCUAGGUCGGAUUAGCUAGUUGGUGGGGUAAUGGCUCACCAAGGCGACGAUCCGUAACUGGUCUGAGAGGAUGAUCAGUCACACUGGAACUGAGACACGGUCCAGAUUCCUACGGGAGGCAGCAGUGGGGAAUAUUGGACAAUGGGCGAAAGCCUGAUCCAGCCAUGCCGCGUGUGUGAAGAAGGUCUUCGGAUUGUAAAGCACUUUAAGUUGGGAGGAAGGGCAGUAAAUUAAUACUUUGCUGUUUUGACGUUACCGACAGAAUAAGCACCGGCUAACUCUGUG
rnacentral:rRNA from 1 species